rnacentral:rRNA from 1 species
CUUAAUAUAUGCAAGUCGGACUAUACAAGGGGAGUCGGUCUCUGAGUACAGUGGCGCACGGGUGCGUAACACGUAAGUAAUCUACCCCGAACUCCAGGAUAACCCUCCGAAAGGAGGGCUAACACUAGAUAGGGUCCCCGAGGUAUAGGCUGCGGGGGGAAAACGGGCCUCUGUUUCACGCUCGUGGUUCGGGAUGAGCUUGCGGCCACGGGAGCUUGUUGGUAGGGUAAUGGCUUACCAAGGCUACGAUGGGUAGCUGGUCUUAUACGGAUGAUCAGCCACACUGGCACUGAGGAACGGGCCGGAGCCUACGGGAGGCAGCAGUGGGGAAUUUUGCGCAAUGGGCGAAAGCCUGACGCAGUAACGCCGCGUGGAGGAUGAAGGCCUUCGGGUUGUAAACUCCUGUCAGGGGGAACGACGGGGAAAGGGUGGAAAAUCCUUUCCUCCAGACGGUACCUCCAAAGGAAGCCCCGGCUAAUUCCGUGCCAGCAGCCGCGGUAACAGAGGAAGGGGCAAGCGUUGUUCGGAAUUAUUGGGCGUAAAGGGCGCGUAGGUGGCUCUGUAUGUCUACCGUGAAAGCACAGAGGCUCAACUGUAUUUUGUCGGUAGAAACUGCAGGACUUGAGGCUGGGAGGGGCUGGUGGAAUUCCCUGUGUAGCGGUGAAAUGCGUAUAUACUGGGGUAUACACACUCGUGGCGAAGGCGGCCAGCUUGACCAGUUCUGGAACUGGGGCGCGGAAGCGUGGGGAGCAAACAGGAUUAGGAA